rfam:Oryza sativa Japonica Group DNA, chromosome 4, cultivar: Nipponbare, complete sequence.
GCUCGCUGCUGUUUUACACUAUUCACGUUUAACAUUUGACCGUUUAUCUUAUUUGAAGAUUAGUAUUUUUAUUGCUAUUAGAUGAUAAAAUAUGAAUAGUACUUAAUGUUUGACUAAAUAUUUUUAAUUUUUUUAUAAAUUUUUUAAAUAAGACGGAUGGUCAAACGUUAGACACGGAUAUCCACGGCUGCACUUAAU